rnacentral:rRNA from 1 species
UACGUAGGGGGCUAGCGUUGUCCGGAAUUACUGGGCGUAAAGAGUGUGUAGGCGGCCCUGCAAGUCGGAUGUGAAAUCCCACGGCUCAACCGUGGAAGUGCAUUCGAAACUGCAGGGCUAGAGUCCUGGAGAGGAAGGUGGAAUGCUUGGUGUAGAGGUGAAGUUCGUAGAUAUCAAGCGGAACACCGGUGGCGAAGGCGGCCUUCUGGACAGUGACUGACGCUGAGGCGCGAAAGCCAGGGGAGCAAACGGG